GCGCUCUUAGUUCAGUUGGUAGAACAUGGGUUUCCAAAACCCAAUGUCGAGGGUUCAAAUCCUUCAGGGCGUG
rnacentral:tRNA from 1 species